UACGUAGGGUGCAAGCGUUAAUCGGAAUUACUGGGCGUAAAGCGUGCGCAGGCGGCUUUGCAAGACAGAUGUGAAAUCCCCGGGUUCAACCUGGGAACUGCAUUUGUGACUGCAAGGCUAGAGUACGGUAGAGGGGGAUGGAAUUCCGCGUGUAGCAGUGAAAUGCGUAGAUAUGCGGAGGAACACCGAUGGCGAAGGCAAUCCCCUGGACCUGUACUGACGCUCAUGCACGAAAGCGUGGGGAGCAAACAGG
rnacentral:rRNA from 1 species